CUCGUAGGUGGCCAACUAAGUCAGACGUGAAAUCCCUCGGCUUAACCGGGGAACUGCGUCUGAUACUGGAUGGCUUGAGUUCGGGAGAGGGAUGCGGAAUUCCAGGUGUAGCGGCGAAAUGCGUAGAUAUCUGGAGGAACACCGGUGGCGAAGGCGGCAUCCUGGACCGACACUGACACUGAGGAGCGAAAGCCAGGGAGCAAACG
rnacentral:rRNA from 1 species